CCCUUAGAUGUUCGGGGCCGCACGCGCGCUACACUGAAGGACUCAGCGUGUCUCUCCCCCUAUCCCGAAAGGGAUGGGCAACCCGUUGAACCUCCUUCGUGCUAGGGAUUGGGGUUUGCAAUUAUCCCCCAUGAACGAGGAAUUCCCAGUAAGCGCGAGUCAUCAGCUCGCGUUGAUUACGUCCCUGCCCUUUGUACACACCGCCCGUCGCUACUACCGAUUGGAUGGUUUAGUGAGACCCUCGGAUCGGUCCCGACUCGGGGUGGGCUUCUGCCCCGGUCGUGGUUUCGCCGAGAAGACGGUCAAACUUGACUAUAUAGAGGAAGUAAAAGUCGUAACA
rnacentral:rRNA from 1 species